rnacentral:tRNA from 1 species
GUGGACGUAGCUCAGUAGGUAGAGCGCUUGGUUGUGGCCCAAGUGGUCGUGGGUUCAAGUCCCAUCGUUCACCCGA